rnacentral:rRNA from 1 species
UAGCAUAUCAAUAAGCGGAGGAAAAGAAACCAACAGGGAUUGCCCCAGUAGCGGCGAGCGAAGCGGCAACAGCUCAAAUUUGAAAUCUGGCCCCCCCCAGCCGGGGGCCCGAGUUGUAAUUUGCAGAGGACGCUUCUGGCGCGGCGCCUUCCGAGUCCCCUGGAACGGGGCGCCACAGAGGGUGAGAGCCCCGUAUGGUCGGACGCCCAGCCAGUGCGAAGCUCCCUCGACGAGUCGGGCAGUUUGGGAAUGCUGCUCAAAACGGGAGGUAAAUUUCUUCUAAAGCUAAAUACCGGCUCGAGACCGAUAGCGCACAAGUAGAGUGAUCGAAAGAUGAAAAGCACUUUGGAAAGAGGGUUAAACAGCACGUGAAAUUGUUGAAAGGGAAGCGCCCGCGACCAGACGUGCGCCGGGCGGAUCCCGCCAGGGGCCCAUUCCGCCCGGCCCAGGCCAGCGUCGGCUCUCGCGGGGGGACGAGAGCCCCGGGAACGUAGCUCCCUAGGGAGUGUUAUAGCCCGGGGCACGACGCCCCCGCGGGGGCCGAGGUUCGCGCUCCGCAAGGACGCUGGCGUAAUGGUCGCCGGCGACCCGUCUUGAAACACGGACCAAGGAGUCAAGGUUCUGCGCGAGUGUCCGGGUGUCAAACCCGCACGCGGAAUGAAAGUGAACGCAGGUGGGAGCCCUCGCGGCGCACCAUCGACCGAUCCCGAUGUGCUCGGACGGAUUUGAGUAGGAGCGCAGUGCCUUGGACCCGAAAGAUGGUGAACUAUGCUCGGAUAGGGUGAAGCCAGAGGAAACUCUGGUGGAGGCUCGCAGCGGUUCUGACGUGCAAAUCGAUCGUCAAAUCUAAGCAUAGGGGCGAAAGACCAAUCGAACCGUCUAGUAGCUGGUUGCCGCGA